AACGAACGCUGGCGGCAUGCCUAACACAUGCAAGUCGAACGAGACCUUCGGGUCUAGUGGCGCACGGGUGCGUAACGCGUGGGAACCUGCCCUUAGGUUCGGAGUAACUCCCCGAAAGGGGUGCUAAUACCGGAUAAUGUCUUCGGACCAAAGAUUUAUCGCCUUUGGAUGGGCCCGCGUUGGAUUAGCUAGUUGGUAGGGUAAAAGCCUACCAAGGCGACGAUCCAUAGCUGGUCUGAGAGGAUGAGCAGCCACACUGGGACUGAGACACGGCCCAGACUCCUACGGGAGGCAGCAGUGGGGAAUAUUGGACAAUGGGCGAAAGCCUGAUCCAGCAAUGCCGCGUGAGUGAUGAAGGCCUUAGGGUUGUAAAGCUCUUUUACCCGGGAUGAUAAUGACAGUACCGGGAGAAUAAGCUCCGGCUAACUCCGUG
rnacentral:rRNA from 1 species